CUUGCUCUCCCUCUAGCCCAAUCACCACACAAUCCAUACCAUCAAAAACAUAUUCCCAUAGUAAAUCAAAACAUUCUAACCCCCUCUUAGUAUAGGCGAUAGAAAAGAUUCAAGAUCCCUGGCGCAAUAGAGGCUAACCGUACCGUAAGGGAAAGAUGAAAUAAUAAUGAAAACUAAAAGCAAAAACAGUAAAGACCAACCCUUGUACCUCUUGCAUCAUGAUUUAGCAAGAACAACCAAGCAAAGUGAACUAAAGUUUGCCUUCCCGAAACCCAAGCGAGCUACCUGCGAGCAGCUAAAUUGAGCAAACCCAUCUCUGUCGCAAAAGAGUGGGAUGACUUUCUGGUAGAAGUGAAAAGCCAACCGAGCUGGGUGAUAGCUGGUUGCCUGCCAAACGAAUUUAAGUUCCCCCUUAGUCCACUCUAUAAGGAUAUUUUACCUCAACCCUGCACAUGUUAGGACUAAGAGUAAUUCGACGGGGGUACAGCCCCUUCGAAAAAGAAUACAACCUCCUCCAGCGGAUAACCCCCCCCCCCCCCUUUUUUUCCUUCACCGUGGGCUUUAAAGCAGCCAUCAACAAAAGAGUGCGUCAAAGCUCCCCCAUUAAAAAUUCAAAAACCAAUUUGACUCCCUCACCCAAAGCAGGCCAACCUAUGAAAAUAGAAGAAUUAAUGCUAAAAUGAGUAACUCGGAAUCCUCCUCAUAGCGCAAACUUACAUCAACAUAUUAUUAACAGCCCAACUUAUACCUUAACUCUAACAAGAACACGUAUUUAACCCCACCUGUUAAACCAACUCAGGAGCGCCCACUCAGAUGAUUAAAAUCUGCAAAAGGAACUCGGCAAACCAAAGACCCGACUGUUUACCAAAAACAUAGCCUUCAGCAAACAACAAGUAUUGAAGGUGAUGCCUGCCCAGUGACCCUCAAAGUUCAACGGCCGCGGUAUCCUAACCGUGCGAAGGUAGCGCAAUCAAUUGUCCCAUAAAUUGAGACUUGUAUGAAUGGCUGAACGAGGUCUUAACUGUCUCUUGCAGAUAAUCAGUGAAAUUAGUAUUCCCGUGCAAAAACGAGAAUGUGACCAUAAGACGAGAAGACCCUGUGGAACUUAAAAAUAACGAUCACCUCCUCACCAACACUGCCCACCGGGCUUACCCACACAAAAUACCUGAUCGACAUUUUUCGGUUGGGGCGACCUUGGAGAAAAACAAAUCCUCCAAACCUACAGACCACAACUCUUCACUAAGAUCAACUCAUCAAAGUACUAAUAGUAAUCUAGACCCAAUAUAAUUGACUGAUGAACCAAGCUACCCCAGGGAUAACAGCGCAAUCUCCUCCAAGAGCCCAUAUCGACAAGGAGGUUUACGACCUCGAUGUUGGAUCAGGACAACCUAAUGGUGCAGCCGCUAUUAAGGGUUCGUUUGUUCAACGAUUAACAGUCCUACGUGAUCUGAGUUCAGACCGGAGCAAUCCAGGUCGGUUUCUAUCUAUGAAAUAACUCCUCCUAGUACGAAAGGACCGGAGAAGUGGGGUCAAUACCAUAAAGUACACCCCAGCUUAUAAGCAAUGAACUCAACUCAAUUGCCAAAAGCCUAACACACACCCAAUUCCUAGAAAAGGAACAG
rnacentral:rRNA from 1 species